CCUACGGGAGGCAGCAGUGAGGAAUAUUGGUCAAUGGGCUUACGCCUGAACCAGCCAAGUCGCGUGAGGGAAGACUGCCCUAUGGGUUGUAAACCUCUUUUGUCAGGGAGCAACGCCGGCUACGUGUAGCCGGACUGAGAGUACCUGAAGAAAAAGCAUCGGCUAACUCCGUGCCAGCAGCCGCGGUAAUACGGAGGAUCCGAGCGUUAUCCGGAUUUAUUGGGUUUAAAGGGAGCGUAGGUGGAUUGUUAAGUCAGUUGUGAAAGUUUGCGGCUCAACCGUAAAAUUGCAGUUGAAACUGGCAGUCUUGAGUACAGUAGAGGUGGGCGGAAUUCGUGGUGUAGCGGUGAAAUGCUUAGAUAUCACGAAGAACUCCGAUUGCGAAGGCAGCUCACUGGACUGCAACUGACACUGAGGCUCGAAAGCGUGGGGAGCAAACAGGAUUAGAUACCCCUGUAGUC
rnacentral:rRNA from 1 species